rnacentral:rRNA from 1 species
UACGAAGGGGGCUAGCGUUGUUCGGAAUCACUGGGCGUAAAGCGCACGCAGGCGGAUCGUUAAGUCAGGGGUGAAAUCCCGAGGCUCAACCUCGGAACUGCCUUUGAUACUGGCGAUCUUCGAGUCCGGGAGAGGUGAGUGGAACUCCGAGUGUAGAGGUGAAAUUCGUAGAUAUUCGGAAGAACACCAGUGGCGAAGGCGGCUCACUGGCCCGGUACUGACGCUCAGGUGCGAAAGCGCGGGGAGCAAACAGG